UGGUAUCUAAAUUAAUCUGGAGACAUGUCAGAUUACUGUAGUUUGUUCAGUCAAACAUUUCAUGGCUAACUAUUAAGCUAUCUUGCCAUGACCGAUGUAACACCGCAACCAAAAAAGACUUGUCAAAUUAGCCAAAUCAUUACUGUACCAUGAAUGCUCCUAUCUCCGACACACACACAAAAAAUAACUCUUGCACGCCUUGCGUGCCUAUGUUUUGCCCUAGAACGUAUAUUGUCCCAUCGCAACACAGACUCAUCUGGCUACAGUAAUUUGCAUAUCGAUGGUAGGGAGGUAAUCAUCGUUUGGAAUGUAGGAAGGUGGUGAACUUUGUGGAGCUUGACAAGCCAUCUGUUAAGUUUUUUACUCACCUUUUUGGUCAGCUUUUGUCAGGCUAUUCAACGGAGAUAACAAGAAAUAUUUUUGAAAGAAUUUCUGCAGUAAAGGAGCUUUCAUUCUUUCGCCAAAGCCUUCGAAUUUUCAUCAAACACUUUGUUGCAAAAUCGACAUGGACUGAUAUGAACGAAAGACUUAAUCUUGUAGAUGGUAUUCUUGGAGCUUCAGACACCACCAAACUUUAGAUACAUUUGCGGAAUGGACGAAAAUUUACUGACUUUACAUCCUACUAGGAAGUAGUAUAAUUUUUAUGUUAAGAUGACGUCAUCUGUGAUAUUGGAGCAUCUCGUCAUGCGUUGUGUCCACUAAGAGGCCUUUUUUAAUUUAGUUGUCAGUUGUGAUAAAAUUUGUCAGGCUGGCUCGUCUCCCUAACUGCUACUAUUGCAAUGUAGUAUGGGAAAAAGUGACGGGUUAGAUCAACGUCCAUCAUGGCAAAGAUGUUUGUUCUCAAAUGUUUAUUUUUGAGCUGAGCAAACAUUUAAUACUGGAAAAAAAAAACUUCUUCUGUUGGGCAAAUUCCUUUGUUCAGAAGAUUAAUAUUUCACGGAACAACUAUUGCUGUACUGACAAAUAUAUAUGAAUUGUACAGUUGCAGUUGCAAAGCAAAUCAAAAACAUCUAGGUAGAAAGUAUUCAGCGGAACAAGGAGGCUGGAAGGCGUCCAUUAAAAUUCAUCAUUUGCGCGUGCAUGUAGACUCGUAGCCGAAACUAUUAGUCACCAGCAAGUAAGGAAGCCGAAAUUCAUGAACUUCAACAGUUCGUUCGGUUGCACUGACUUGAAGUUAACUAAAACUAAUUAGUAGAAUUCCACUCGUAUACUGAUACAAGUGCUGCAAUCUGAUUGCCUGAACUACUCCUACACUAUCAGACAUUAGUAGCCACUCAGCUGUGUUCUAUUAAAAAUCCGCGAAUCAGAUUG
rnacentral:lncRNA from 1 species